AUGGGCCGGCCCAGCCUGGCGCGGGGGGUAUGCGCCCGUUUGCGUGCAGCGAAGGAACGGGCGCAACGGGCGCCGUUUAGGAUUUGCCCUGCAACCGCCCCCAAUGAUGCCUGCGACUCUGGUCUUGGGAUUUCGGUCUACUGGGCCUGGAUCCGGGAGGCGGCAGAGGCGGCUCCGGCCCCCACAGCUCGACAGGAGGAAGAGGAGGAAGGAGGUUUAGUCCGCUACAUCCCCGUCAAGGCCUACUCCCUCUCCAUCAGCGACUUGGUAAAUCCAUCCACAUGGUCACUAAACUACAUUGCGCUGCUGAAGAACGACAUAUUUUGCUGUCGCUAUGUGGUUCUCUUCCAAUAUGGUUCUGUUGUGCUCUUCAAUGUAUAUAAUCAGGAAUCUUGCUUUUGGGAUGAUUAUGCAGUAGUUGAGAAGCCAUCCCAGACAACUUGGAUGAAAGGAGGUCUUGAUUAUAUAGUUCAUAAAAGUUUACACAUGGAUGGAAUUCGGAUCAUUUCAAGUGUUCCUGAUCAAAGCAUCGCUCUUGAUCAUUGCAUACGGCAGGUCGAUGAUAUGGUUGAGGAGUUUACUGAAAUUAAUCGUAUCAUGAAGAAGACUGGGGACUUCACAAUGAAAAGGAAGAAGCUCUUUCAACUUAUGGGCAAGGCUAAUUCUAAUCUUGCAGAUGUUAUCAUUAGACAUGGCCUAUUUCACCGUGUCACCAUCCUUGGUUCUGAAGUAAUUCGUGAGGCAUCUCUUGCCAUAACAAUCUGGUUCUUACGCGAGUAUUGUCUACUAAGACGCCAUGUUGCUAGACAUAUUCUGUUUUUUCUGGAAGCAAUUCAUCCCAAAUUUUCAGCUGAGCCGCAUUGCAUUUUUAUCCUGAAUCUCCGCAAUCGAUCAUUUUUUCAAAGAUUUAUUGCAUUUAUGAGACACAUUUACCUCAUUUGA
rnacentral:rRNA from 1 species